GCACAACCCAUUUGCUGCACAGGGAAUGUGUCUCCAUUUUUGUGGAUGAGGCUCAUAGGACUGAAGGGGCAAGCCCAAGGUCACAGAGUGGCAAACAGGUAGCAUGCGGCAGUGGCUGGCCUGUCACUCCCUAGGGGCGAUGACAGCAUCAUUGCAUGUCCCUAAAUGAGAAACGCUUUAACCAAAAGUCAGAAGGCCAAUUCUAACGCUGGCCUCCCUCUGCCUCUGAGGCUUUGCCUAUUCCUCCCUCUGCCUCUGAGGGUUUGCCUAUGCCUCCCUCUGCCUCUGAGGGUUUGCCUAUGCCUCCCUCUGCCUCUGAGGUUUUGCCUAUGCCUCCCUCUGCCCUCCCUCUGCCUCUGAGGCUUUGCCUAUGCCUCCCUCUGCCUCUGAGGGUUUGCCUAUGCCUGGCAUUUCAUGUGGAUGGCAUCAGGCUGGACGUGGCCUUUUGUGACUGGCUGCUUCCACUCUGCCUGUGCCCAGGCACCCUGUGCCCAGAGUGCAUCAGACUACGUUCCUUUGGGCGCCUGGAUGAUGCUGCGCCUGUGGGCGCCCGUGGUGCUUGUCCGUCCCUCACCGGAUGGCCUGAGGGCUGAGGCCAUCUCUGCUCUGGUGGGUGAGGCCUUGUGAAGGCGUCUGCAUCCCGGGAAAGGUUUCAGCUUGUUCUCGCCUUGGGUUUGCUGCCCCCCACCCCACAUUUUCAGCACAAAUGUUGUUAAGAACUUUUCCCUUGACCCCCGUCCCCUUUCCCCUGGAACAGCUGAAAGACUAAUGUUUUCAAUGAGGACCAAUUCCCUGUCAGUGUGACCACUUCCCAGUCUCUUGGGGACUGAAGCGCUCCCAGGAUGUGGGGCCUUCAGGGGCAGAAGUGGCUGGCAGAGGUGCUAGCCCUCGCCUCUGAGAAGGGAGCCCCUCUGGGGAAUCUGGGGAGCUCCCACCUGUGUUCCAUCCUUACCCUUCUGACUCAGGCCCUCAGAGGGCCAGGGGGAGGCAGCCCCCAGCCCCUGCUUGGCUGUGGUAUGAGGUGAGACCCCUGGAGGGGCUUCCGCUAGGCAGCGAUGUGCGGUUGGUGGGAGGAAUUAAAUCACGUCUCGCACACCCUCCCUUAUCGGCCAGCUGUGUCCACAUCUGGAUCAAUACUAACCCAGGCCUUUCCUUCCAACGGGGCUUCUCCGUGUUCUCAGAAGAUGAAGAAGCAGCAAACACACUGGCUGGGCUCCCUCCCUGGAGCCCCUUCACCACCUGCCCAGUCACGGACAGCAGCGGCCGUGUUACUCCCCAGCUCAUGAACCUUCUGUGGCUCCCUGUUGUUGACAGUGAGGGUUGACACACAGACCCCGGAUACCACUGCCAGAGCUCCCAGUCAGCACAUCAUGGGUGGGAUACAGGAACUUGCACUUUUAUAAAAACUGCAGGAAAUAUGGAGGCAGGUGGUCUCUGGGUUUUCUUUGAAGGACUCCGGCUGCGGGUGAACGUUGGGACCCCAUGGAGAGCAUUUAGGGCCCUGACCCUUCUUGCUGAUUCGGUUUGACUCUGCUCCCUCCUCGGCCUCCUCCGCUUCCUCCUCGGCCUCCUCUGCUGUGGCCAAACUGCGUCUCCCCCACCCGCCUGCCCCAGUUGUUUUCUCUGGACACCUGGAAUCCUCUCUGGUUCCUGUGUGGUGCUCACUCCGUGGGAAGCAGCCCUCCCUAGACUGGGCGCCUCUGUUGCUCACACCACACCCUCUCCCAUUGCACUCAGCUGUGUGUGUACACCCCAGCCCCCCGGCUCGAACGCUUGAGGGUUGUAUCUGAUUUCUUCUGGUUUUCCUUGUCUGGUGCAUUUUGGGAGCCAGGGAUGGAGGAGAUCAGUGCAUUGGAGAAGAACCCGGGCCCUGGACCCCACGAAGAUCCACGUCAGGCCAGGUGCAUUGGAUCAGCUUCUCCACAGAGCACACACUGAUGGUGUCUUGCACUGGGGCCGUGGCGUUUCAGGUCCAGCAGCAGAGCUUCGACGUUAGCCAUGCGGCCAGGCCCCGGCUGAGAACUGCCAUGGCGUUUUCCUGGGGAACCUCCCUGGAGGUUGUGAAGAAGGCACUGCUAUCAUCCCCAUCACACAGGUAAGGAAGUGCAGGCUGGGAGCUGUCAUAUGGUUCAGCCAAGGUCACACAGUCAGCAGCAGAGUGAGAAUUUUGUUCCUCUACAAGCAUUU
rnacentral:lncRNA from 1 species